AUUGAACGCUGGCGGCAGGCCUAACACAUGCAAGUCGAGCGGAUGAAGGGAGCUUGCUCCUGGAUUCAGCGGCGGACGGGUGAGUAAUGCCUAGGAAUCUGCCUGGUAGUGGGGGAUAACGUCCGGAAACGGGCGCUAAUACCGCAUACGUCCUGAGGGAGAAAGUGGGGGAUCUUCGGACCUCACGCUAUCAGAUGAGCCUAGGUCGGAUUAGCUAGUUGGUGGGGUAAAGGCCUACCAAGGCGACGAUCCGUAACUGGUCUGAGAGGAUGAUCAGUCACACUAGAACUGAGACACGGUCCAGACUCCUAAGGGAGGCAGCAGAGGGGAAUGUUGGACAAUGGGCGAGAGCAUGAUACAGCCAUGCCGCGUGUGUGAAGAAGGUCUUCGGAUUGUAAAGAACUUUAAGUUGGGAGGAAGGGCAGUAAGUUAAUACCUUGCUGUUUUGACGUUACCAACAGAAUAAGCACCGGCUAACUUCGUG
rnacentral:rRNA from 1 species